rnacentral:rRNA from 1 species
GAAUGAUUUCCGCCAACACUGGCACCUGGAAACCCCGGCCAGACUCCCUACGGAGGCAGCAGUGAGGAAUUUGCGCCAAUUGGGGCACCUGACGCCAGCGACGCCCGGCGGAGUGAGGAAGCCUUCCGGGUCCGUAAAAGCUCCUGUCAAAAGGAAAGAAAUGUAUAAUGGCUAAUACUGUUAUAUUUGACGGUACCUUAAAGGAAGCACCGGCUAACUCCGUGCAGCAGCCGCGGUAAUACGGAGGGUGCAGCGUUAUUCGGAAUUAUUGGGCGUAAAGCGCGCGUAGGCGGUUUCGUAGGUCAGAUGUGAAAGCCCGGGGCUCAACCCCGGAAGUGCAUUUGAAACCCCGAGACUUGAGGUAUGGGAGAGGGAAGUGGAAUUCCAGGUGUAGAGGUGAAAUUCGUAGAUAUCUGGAGGAACACCGGUGGCGAAGGCGACUUCCUGGACCAAUACUGACGCUGAGGUGCGAAGGCGUGGGGAGCAAACAGGAUUAAGAUACCCUGGUAGUCCACGCAGUAAACGAUGAUCACUAGGUGUUGGGGGUAUUGACUCCUCCAGUGCCGCAGCUAACGCAUUAAGUGAUCCGCCUGGGGAGUACGGUCGCAAGAUUAAAACUCAAAGAAAUUGACGGGGGCCCGCACAAGCGGUGGAGCAUGUGGUUUAAUUCGACGCAACGCGCAGAACCUUACCUGGAUUUGACAUCAUGGGUAUCUUUUCGAAAGAUUUGAGUGCCCUUCGGGGAGCCCAGUGACAGGUGCUGCAUGGCUGUCGUCAGCUCGUGUCGUGAGAUGUUUGGUUAAAUCCAGCAACGAGCGCAACCCCUGUCUUCAGUUACCAUCAUUAAGUUGGGGACUCUGGAGAUACUGCCCCGGUUAACGGGGAGGAAGGGGGGGAUGACGUCAAGUCCUCAUGGCCUUUAUGUCCAGGGCUACACACGUGCUACAAUGGGCUGUACAAAGGGUUGCGAACCCGCGAGGGGAAGCUAAUCUCAAAAAGCAGUUCAUAGUUCGGAUUGGAGUCUGCAACUCGACUCCAUGAAGCUGGAAUCGCUAGUAAUCGUGGAUCAGCAUGCCACGGUGAAUACGUUCCCGGGCCUUGUACACACCGCCCGUCACACCAUGAGAGUUGGUUGUACCAGAAGUCGUUGGGCAAACCCUUCGGGGAUGGGUAGGCGCCUAAGGUAUGGCUGAUGAUUGGGGUGAAGUCGUAACAAGGUAGCCGU